rnacentral:siRNA from 1 species
CACGCUAAGUGGCAUACGCCUA